UCACCUCCAAUCACCCCUCAAACACUUCAUACACUUAUUUUCUUACCAAUCUAUUUUUAUCCAAGUUAUAAGCACAAAGGAAGGAGGCACCCGAUAAUUGAAGCCCUCAUUGCUCAAUCCAAAAUCUUUUCUUUUCUUCCUUGGUGUAAUUAUACAAUGGUGAGAGAGAGGAAGGCAACCGAAUAGCUUGAGGUAGAAGAGGAAUGCAAAAGAUAAUCUGCAGAAGCUGGAAGUCGGUCAGAAAAUGUGGGUGGAUCAGGGGAGAAUUCUGAGAAAGACAAAGUGUAAUUAUACAAUGGUGAGAGAGAGGAAGGCAACCGAAUAGCUUGAGGUAGAAGAGGAAUGCAAAAGAUAAUCUGCAGAAGCUGGAAGUCGGUCAGAAAAUGUGGGUGGAUCAGGGGAGAAUUCUGAGAAAGACAAAGGUAUUAAUAGUUGGUUACUUUUUGUUAUGAAAUUGCUGCUUUAGCACUUGUUCAAUGCUGAUAAUUGUUCAAUACAAUUAAGUAGAUUGAUAAUUGCUUUUUCUGUGUGUUAUAAUUGUCUGAUAAGCAUU